GACGAACGCUGGCGGCGUGCUUAACACAUGCAAGUCGAACGGAAAGGCCCUGCUUUUGUGGGGUGCUCGAGUGGCGAACGGGUGAGUAACACGUGAGUAACCUGCCCUUGACUUUGGGAUAACUUCAGGAAACUGGGGCUAAUACCGGAUAGGAGCUCCUGCUGCAUGGGGGGGGUUGGAAAGUUUCGGCGGUUGGGGAUGGACUCGCGGCUUAUCAGCUUGUUGGUGGGGUAGUGGCUUACCAAGGCUUUGACGGGUAGCCGGCCUGAGAGGGUGACCGGCCACAUUGGUCCUGAGAUACGGCCCAGACUCCUACGGGAGGCAGCAGUGGGGAAUAUUGCACAAUGGGCGGAAGCCUGAUGCAGCAACGCCGCGUGCGGGAUGACGGCCUUCGGGUUGUAAACCGCUUUCGCCUGUGACGAAGCGUGAGUGACGGUAAUGGGUAAAGAAGCACCGGCUAACUACGUG
rnacentral:rRNA from 1 species